UACGUAGGGGGCUAGCGUUGUCCGGAAUCAUUGGGCGUAAAGCGCGUGUAGGCGGUCCGGUAAGUCCGCUGUGAAAGUCGGGGGCUCAACCCUCGAAUGCCGGUGGAUACUGUCGGGCUAGAGUGCGGAAGAGGCGAGUGGAAUUCCUGGUGUAGCGGUGAAAUGCGCAGAUAUCAGGAGGAACACCAAUUGCGAAGGCAGCUCGCUGGGACGUAACUGACGCUGAGGAGUGAAAGCCAGGGGAGCAAACGGG
rnacentral:rRNA from 1 species